ACACCUCAACCCUUGUGGCUUGCCAUGAUGGGCUUGGACUUUGGGGGUCUUGUUGGCCUGUGAGCCAGCUCCUCUUAAAUGGAUUAGCUUGCCGGUGUUUGGUGGCGUCACAGGUGUGAUAACUAUCUACGCUUGUGGUUUCCCACCAGGUAACCUUCAGCAAUGUAGGUUCGCUGGAGCUUAUAAAUGUCUCUCCUCAGUGAGGACUGAUUUUGACCAU
rnacentral:misc_RNA from 1 species